GAAGGAAGGAGGGAAGGAGGCGCGGCGGGUGGGCGAGCACCGCCGCGUGCCGGCCCCGCAGCAAAAAUAACUCCCCGUUAUUUAUGGGUUUUUUCAGCUUGCAGCCCUGAAAUGAGCUAAUUUGCCGGGCCCCGAGGCGGCUCGCAUUCCUCCGGCAUCUUUAGCAUCGGCACCAUAUUUGGCAGUCGGCGUCCCGCAAGGCCGAGCUCUUAUCCAGAGGGAUUAGUGGAGCCAAAAAAAAAAAAAAAAAGUUUUACAUUGAAAAUGAAGAGAAGGACAAAAAACAACCCCGAACCAAAAUGCAGGGAGAGCUGGGGAGGAAUUGGAGAACCAGCUCCACACAGUUCUGCCUGUGACUAUUUUCAGGUAACUUAACAAGUUGCGAAAAGAAGGUGAAAUUUGUUUUUUUCUUUUGCAGACUUAGCUGGGAUUUUUCCUGCUGAAUAAACAGGAGAAGCUGGGAAUGUUCUUUCUCACUCAUAUCUAAGGCUCAGGUCCUGAGUAUUCAAGCCCUCCUGGAUGGCCCUGAAAAAGGGAAACAAGGGGAAAAUGGAGCAAUGUAGCGGCUGAGCCAGGCGCACUCACGUUCAGCGCGUUCUUCGCUGCCUCCGCCUCGGAGCGGCUGUCGAAGCUGACGAAGCCCACGGGCUGUGGAGGAAGGACAGGAGUCAUCAGUCAGGUUCCUGGGGAGCAGAGAGGGGGAGCCCCUGACCCCAGGGAAUGGUGGGAUGGUUACACCAUUUGGAGCAGCCCCUACCUGCUUGGAGCAGAUCUCCAGGAUAAAAAGCUCACAGAAUCCCAGCACCUUCCUACCCCGGUCUGGCAAACAGGAUUUCUGCCGUCAUCCCCAGCGGAUCCUGGACUCCACAGACAAUGCCUAUUGUCUCAGUUUAAUUGCAGCAGCUCAUUAAGGACUGGGAGAAGCAAACACCAACUCUUCCUCCUGGAGGAAAGGCCCUGGUUUAGAGGGGGCUGGAUUUAAGCAGCUUGUCCCUGAUAAGCUAUCUCCCCCAUCUCCCAGCCUGGGAGCAGCAAACAUUCCUGCUUUGUGGAACAAAACCUCUGGCUGACCUAUAUCUAUUAAAUAACAAAAGGCUAAAAAAUACUGGAUUUCAGACAGGUCCUCCUGAGCACGGCUGCUGUCCAGGGAAUCGGCUCUCCAGACACAUCCACCCUCCCAGGAUGUCUGCUCUUCAUCUGUACUACUCUCCUCUUCCUUGGAAAUCUUCUCCAUCCUCCUUCUGGCCUGUCCCUCUCACCUUUACAUCCCACCAUCCCAGUCUGUUGUCCCCGAAAUCCUGCAUCUCCUCUUGGGCCAGUUUAAGGGAUGCUGGAAAGGAUCUGUGGAGAUUUGCCGAGAUGGUCAUGGCUGAGGACAUGCAAGGAGAGGCAAAGAUCUGGCCCAGGAGAUCACUGAGGUCUCCAGAGCAUGGAUCAAAGAUGACCCCAGCAUGGUAAGGGGCAUUUGCUUGGCUUGGACCCCCAUGACACAGCGGUGCCCAGAGGGAUCCAUGGUGCCCUGCCAGCACGGUCCCAGUCCCCUGCCCUGCCGUGCCGUGCCGUGCCCGAGCCAGCCCCGGUAAACGUUAACAGGCCGUGGGGAGGCGGGGAGGCGUCCGGGUGAUUCAUCCACGAGGCAUUUAAUCGCCUCCUUCAGCCCAGCUCCCAUCCCUCUGUCCGUCCGUGCGCCCCUUCCAGCGGGGCUCGCUUUAAUUCUCCACCAGCCGAUUAUCCGCUUGACUGCCCGCCGCCGGGGAGGCACCGGAUCCCGGCGGUGGCAGCGGGAGGGCGAUGCCACGGAGCUGCCAUGGAGCAGGGCUUCCCCUCCCAUUCCCGGCAAAGCGGGGUGCUGCCUCCCCCGCGGCAGGGGGCAUUCCCACCCCGCCGGGAUUAGUCCUGGCAUAAAUAGUCUCUUGGCUAAUGGAGCGUCUUCCUCGGCUGGGUUUAGAUUCCCGGGCUGUGUGUACGCAUGCCUUCAGCCCGCAAAACUCCCCGACAUAAACAAGGCUGGGGCCGAGGGAUGCCGGGGGAUGCGGGAGGACCGGCACCGAUCUCCGGCCUCGCCACCCGCAGCGGCUUUGCUGGAAAAUCACGGUUCUCUCACGUCCGGUGAAGGACGGGAGGAGAGGAACAGCCCUUGGGGGGGAAAAGCGAGUCCAGAGCUGCCGGGGCUGGAACGAGGAAGCGGCAGAGGAAAAGGCAGUGAGCAGCCAAGGGAGCAGAUGGGGGAUUGCAACAGAGCGGAGGAGCGGCGGGAUCAGGCGCGGGUCACACUCGUCCCUGUCCCGCCCGGAGCUUGCUCCCAAACCCUCCCGACCCCGCGCUUCAAGGAGGAAAGGAAGCAGGAGCACGGGGGGGAUGCCACACAGGGGCCACGGGGGUAAAUUUUAUCCACUCGCUGGGCACAUUCCCCCUAGGAAGCAUCCCUGGGGCCCCCUCCCCGUGGCACGGUUCCCCCGGGAUGAGGGAUCUGGCAUGGGAUGGGGACGAGGGCCACGAGCCGGGCUCUCCGCAGCCGCUCCGCUACCAAAUAAGGCCUCCGCCGAGCCUUUUACAUGCCGUUCUCGCCCGGCCGAAGUGACGUGACCGCCUUCCCAAAUUGUUCCGGCUCCUCCGUGGGGAAGCCCCUGGCCCACAGCUCCCCUGCACGGGGGGGUCCUUCCCGGGGGGACAGCCGAGAGGGACGGGGAAGGCGCCUGGGGUGCCAGGGAGGAGCGGGCAUGAAGUGGGGGCUUUUCCCACCUGGCAGCCACCCUGAGUGACCUCCCCGGGGUGGGGGCUGCUUCUCCUUCUCUUCUGAGGGAGCAGGAGGCUGGAAGACAAGCCCUGGGAGGGGGGAGGAGAGGCACAGUAGCUGGGCAACCCCUUUCCCUGCGCUUGAGCAAAUAGGCAGCACCGGCUCCUCCAGCCUGGGCUGGAACAAGUCCUGCAGGGAAAAUACCUGCCUGGCACCGGAGCAGCGCGGCUUGCAGGCAGGAGCGGGCAUCGCCCACCUCGCGUGUCCCUGGCACCUCCCAGCCGUCCCCUCGGGGUGUUCCCCAUGUCCGCCAUCACCGGGUCAGGGGUCCCCAAGGAUCAGCAGGGCAACAGCCAGCCCCGGGCUCUCCGGAUCCGCCCGGGAGCGGAGCGAGGGCUGCCCUUUCCAUGCUUUUGGAAAAGGCAACAGGCCUCCAUGGGUGUCACCCACCGCCGUGCCCAACAGAGCCGCAGCCACAUCCCCCACGCACCCCGCAAGGCCGCCGGGUGAAAGAAAUCCCCGUUUUUUGUGAAACUUUGGGAAGUUUGAAGCCAGAGCCGCCUCUGGAAUAAGCAAGUGAAGGCAGGCAGCGGGCGGUGGAGCUGCGGGGAUUGAUCCCAGCGCCGGCCACCGAGCGGGGAGCCCAGCAGGGACCUGCUGGAGCAGCCGGCCGGGUGGAGGCUAAGGAGGAGGAGGCGAUCUCAGACAGGAAUCUUCCCGCUCUCAGCCUCACAAAGUCCAAAUUCCCAUCUCAAGGUCACGGGCAAAACCAGGAACUUUGCGGCUGGAACGAAGAAAACCAGCUCUCACCGUGGCGGGGUGUGGGCUUGGUCUCCCGUGGGGAUGGGAGCGUUUCGGGCAUUUUUGGGGAGCUCGGUGUUGGGUGGUUCCAGCCCUGCACAGCCCCGGGAAGGAGGCUGUGCUCCCGCAGGGCUGCGCUCAGCGUGACGAGACCCUCGGGCUGGGGACCGCCUGCCUUUGGUCCAAACAGACCUGGGGACAGCUGCCCGCCUGUCCUGCGGCUGCCCAGGGGACACAGCCCUGCCACCCACAGGCAUCUGCACAAAAAGCUCUGGCCGGACAGCGGGUGGAUACUCACAACCCUUAUUUGGACCCAGCUUUGGGGAAGAGCUGCAGCUCCCCAGCAGCGCUGGAAGCCAGGAAUUCCUGCUGCAUCGAUGUCCAUCUGCGCUGGGACACAACGCUGGACUGUGUCGCACAGGGAUAGAAGGGGAAGCUGUGAACAACCGGGGACUCUGCUGGGAAGCGUGAGCACGAACAACGGAGUUAAUGAGCGAGAGACAACAGACUCGAAGCAGGUCCCAGACUCCCAGUGGAAGAUAAAUAAAUGACACAAGCAAGGAAGAAACGCUUUGCUGGAACGAGGGACGUGGAGGCCGGACUCUUCCCG